rnacentral:tRNA from 1 species
AUAUCAAUAAAUUUUUUAUUUAUAAAUAAAAAAUUUACUUGUGCUUAGCACUUGAUAUC